AGAAACUGUAGAAUUGUUGUAGCUCGAAAUUCUAAACCAAUAGUGUACUUAGAUGUAGGAAACAGCUGUACUAGUGGUGCACCAUUAAACACAGGCGAUAGAUAAGAAGAUAAUUAACGAGGGUCCCAAAAUACGGUAAGAAAGAAAUAAAAACGAACAGAUCUGCAACUAUAAAAGAGCACAACUAGCUGUUCUUGGAGUGGACAGAGUAACAAAACUAGUCAGAUCAUGGCGGUGGCGAUUCGUUUGGUUUUUGUAAUGGCUCUUUUACUUAUGUUUUUGGGUGUUAAGGCCAAGGUAAAUACUCUUCUUCCACCAUAGUUAGAUCACUGGGAUAUCGCAGAAGUGGUCUUUUAUCUCUACAUAUACUUACUUUGGUCUAAAUCUUUAUAUUGACUGACUGUAUUAUAUUUCAUGCAUGCAGGUUUCUUUAACUGAUCUCAAGGUUGAAGAAGAUAAAUCACAACAUUUUGGCCUCAGUCAGGCAUUUCGUG
rnacentral:lncRNA from 1 species